AGAAAUCACUAAACGUUGGCCAUGGUCUCUUCCUCUUUUCCAAUCUCUGUGGCAGUUUUUGCCCUAAUAACCCUGCAGGUUGGUACUCAGGACAGUUUUAUAGCUGCAGUGUAUGAACAUGCUGUCAUUUUGCCAAAUAAAACAGAAACACCAGUUUCUCAGGAGGAUGCCUUGAAUCUCAUGAACGAGAAUAUAGACAUUCUGGAGACAGCGAUCAAGCAGGCAGCUGAGCAGGGUGCUCGAAUCAUUGUGACUCCAGAAGAUGCACUUUAUGGAUGGAAAUUUACCAGGGAAACUGUUUUCCCUUAUCUGGAGGAUAUCCCAGACCCUCAGGUGAACUGGAUUCCGUGUCAAGACCCCCACAGAUUUGGUCACACACCAGUACAAGCAAGACUCAGCUGCCUGGCCAAGGACAACUCUAUCUAUGUCUUGGCAAAUUUGGGGGACAAAAAGCCAUGUAAUUCCCGUGACUCCACAUGUCCUCCUAAUGGCUACUUUCAAUACAAUACCAAUGUGGUGUAUAAUACAGAAGGAAAACUCGUGGCACGUUACCAUAAGGCAGAGUCUGGCUCUGUCAUCCAGGCUGGAGUGCAGUGGCACGAUCUCAGCUCACUGCAACCUCUGACUCCCAGUACCACCUGUACUCUGAGCCUCAGUU
rnacentral:sRNA from 1 species